ACCUCCCCUAGAGGCAUUGCAGGUGUGGCUGCUCUGUCACAUGAGCAUCAGUAGGUGGCAGGGACCAGAGAGGCUACUUCUAUGCUCACUGUUCUGAGCUAUAUACGCAUGAAUGAUUAGUAGCGUAGCAUU